rnacentral:ncRNA from 1 species
CUUAACGCAUUGACCAAGAGGGUGACGUCGAGGUGGUUCAGCGACGAGGCGGCUGGUGAAAGCCUCGCAUCGCGACGUCAUUGUAGCUUGUGAGCUGUCGACCCGAACUUUGAGUAAGGCCGACCGGGACCACCCGUUAGCAGGACUUGAGUGGGGGCUGUGGCCCCAAGUUAGGUGGUACCGCGAGCAUGCUCGUCCUAUGU